CCCUUAGAUGUUCUGGGCUGCACGCGCGCUACACUGAUGCGCUCAACGAGUUUUAACCUUGCCUGGAAAGGUUGGGUAAUCUUUUUAAAACGCAUCGUGAUGGGGAUAGAUUAUUGCAAUUAUUAAUCUUCAACGAGGAAUUCCUAGUAAGCGCGAGUCAUCAGCUCGUGCUGAUUACGUCCCUGCCCUUUGUACACACCGCCCGUCGCUCCUACCGAUUGAGUGAUACGGUGAAUAAUUCGGACUGCGGCAUUGACCGGUUCCCGAUCGUUGCUGCGGAAAGUUUAGUGAACCUUAUCACUUAGAGGAAGGAGAAGUCGUAACA
rnacentral:rRNA from 1 species